GUCCGGUUUCUUCCCACAUCCCCAAAACAUGCGUGGUAGGUUGAUUGAAGACUCUGAAUUGCCCAUAGGUCUGAAUGUGUGUGCGAAUGGUUGUUUGUUUCUAUGUACCCUGCGAUUGGCUGGCGACCAGUUCAGUGUGUACCCCGCCUCUCGCCUGAAGAUAGCUGGGAUAGGCUCCAGCAGCCUGUGACCCAAGUGAGGAUAAACGGUAAAGAAAAUGGAUGGAUGGAUGUUAUUUUCUGUUUACUGUUUACAGGCCCCUGAUUUCACCCUAUUUGGUUCCAAAGGUUCUUCCACUGUCCUUGACUAUAUAAUCCUUUGCGAGACAAGCCUCUCUUUGAUAAAACUUACUGCAACAAUGAGAACAUACCUGUUUCUGGCUUUGUAGCUCUGUGCCCUGCUGCCACUGUCAAAUCGCCAAUAUUCUGUCAUGGUGCUCGAACCAGGUGAAAAAUAAAUAUUUGUUGUUCUCUGUUCGGCGGACAAAUGGUUGGAGCGUCCGCCUCACAGUUCUGAGGACCGGGGUUCAAUCCCCGGCCCCGCCUGUGUGGAGUUUCAUAUGGAAUUAAUUAUGUACCAAAGGAACUUCGUUUUUAGUUUUUUUUGGUGUUGUGUUGUGUGAUAAUAUUACUGCCAAAAAUACGGUAUAAUGUGUGAUGUUUUCUAGUAUUUAUUGACAUAAAGAGGUUGCGAUGACCUUUAUCCUAUUUAUUUCCAAAGGUUCUUCAACUGUCCUUCACUUUAAUCCUUUGAGACCCAGGCCUCUUUUCAGUUUGAUAAGACUUAUUGCAACAAUGGUAAGUUUAAGCUGUUUUUUUUUGUUUUAAUUUUUAUGUAGUAUACCUCACUUUGAAUGGCAAAAAUGCUAUGUUUGCUUCUGUAAAAAAAAACAAAAAAAAGAACUGAUUAUAAAUUGUUUUCCCAUGUCCUCAGAGAGCAUACCUGUCUCUGGCUUUGCUGUUAUGUGCAAUGCUAUACAGAAUGUAUAACAGGGUUGACCCAUCUAUUGAAUGUGAAGAUUUUUUUGCAGUUGGAAAGUGAUGGAGCAAUAACAUCCCUCACUGACCACUUGCGAAGAAACAAAGCUACUUAUUUAAUACAAUAUAGUUGUAGUGCACUUGCAAUGCAGGAGGUUAAGCUGAUGGAAGAAGAAAAUGUAAUGUAAUUAAACAUUUGAGAUCAAAUGUGACAAAUGAAUAAAAAAAAUCUGCAAUCCCA